AUUAAACAAAAGUAAUUUGACACGCCUUCCAUUACAAAAAUUAAAAGAAUGAUUUGAUAGGAGUCACCCUCAAAUAGGGGUUUAAAGGCCCAUUAAGAUGGUGUUUUAGGUUGUGAUUGUGUAUAUGGCUAUUAAAGUCGCCAGGGUUAUGAUCAACGCGUUAUGCCCACUUAGGAUUUGGCACGUGGAACUGAUCGGGUAGAAAUCGAUCCGUUGGCGGAGGAGCUUCAGAUUCCAUGGUUCACGCCGGCCAGGUAUCCUCUCUAAAACGUCGUUACUUGAAUGCAUGAUUGCUACAUGAAAUUAGGGUUUCUUUAUCUUUAUUUUGAUCUUCAUUCUUUUUAGGGUUUUUCUGUAAUCUCCGUUUGGUUGCCGAGAAAACGUAGGAAAUUAAAAGAAAAAAGAAGUUUGGAUUUUAGAUUUGUCGUUUCUGGGGUCCGACAUAUUAGAACAUCCGGUAAACUAUUUUCUUUUCUUUUUCCUUCGAUCUUUGGUAUUUGGCUUGAAAUGGGGGAGUAUUUUUCAUCUUCCAGAAAUAAAAAGACACACUCAGGUUUUUAUGUAUUAAAAAAUAUCUGAUAAAAACCAGAAAAAAUAAAAAAUAAAAAAGUGUGGCCUUUAAUGAAGUCCAGGGUUUAUACUGUUGUCUUACUUGCCUAAAAGUGAGGCCGUCGUUGUCGGUGAUGUUCUUAUGAAUUGUUACAGGCAUUCAAACCUGGUUUCGUCUGUUCUUUGUGGGUUUUUAUUUAUGCUCGUAAGCAACCUUGGUGUUCUUGGCGAUAUCCACUAUAAUUGAAAUAUCAAUGAUGUCUGGAAAAUAAUACAUUGGAGCACUUUUGCCGCUUCAACAACAACAAUAAUCCAAAAUGAAGGGCAACAAAUUGAAAAUUCCAGUGGCAGCUGAAACAAAGAGCAAUACAAAGUUUGAUCCGAAGGUCUACAUCUUCAGAAGCUCAUCUCUGGAUAGUGCAGAAAUGCUUAUUAUGGAAAAAUAUUGGUCUUAUUGAGGAAGCUUAUUAAAUUUGCGGUAGCGGUACUCAGCAAAGGUUUUGGUUGAAUACUUGGCAGGGUUUGGUUCAUCCACAAGCUCUGGAAGAGGUCCGAUCAUUGCCUUAUGGGGAGGUGCGCAAAACACAGCCCAUGACAUGCGGGUUCGUUCCUUGUCCACUGUACUCCUGUGGAGAACACUCUUGUACUUCCCAUUGCUCAGCACCUACAAAUGGUAUAUAUCAGUUUCACCUGUCCAAAUGUUAUUUGUUUUUUUAAUUAAUUUUAAAUAGAAUCUUAAUCCUUAAUAGUAUUAAAUGUAGUUUAUUUUUAUAAUAUUUUAUUUUUAUUAAAUAUUAAAAAAUAAAAAAAAUCAAUAUAUUAUUUUUUUUAUUUAAAAAAAACUACAUAUUUUAACAUUUUUUUUAUUUAAUAAAAAAUUUAUAAUAAAUCAUGAAAAAAUAAAAAAACAAAUAACCUAAAUUAUUUUAAACAAAAAGCUAAAAAACCAAACACCUUUAGUUUUUAUUAUUACGUGUCAUUAAAAUUUAGGCAAGAUUUUUUACCUCAAUUUGAUCACCGACAUGGACAAAGAGGGCAUUUGGCAAGUAAUCGACGACAACCCAGUUAUCGUCUUUCCAGACUUGAAGGCCUGGAACAUCAUUGGGCACGAGUAGGGUGAGGGCGGACAUGUCGGUGUGAGGCUCAACUCCGAGCGCCAGUUGAGGCUGUGGGCAUGGUGGGUACAUGUUGAUUUUCAUUUCAAGUUCAAUUUCAUCACCACCCACGUGUGAUUUCAGGACCUUCCCUUCCAAACCGAGCCCCUCUG
rnacentral:lncRNA from 1 species